GAUGUACGUAGGUGGAUCCAAUCGACAAUCCACGGCGUCCCGCGUGGUGAUUCAAGUCCGAUCUUCCGCUGCUGCUUAUUCACGUGAUUUGAAGGAAGAGCAGACUUCUAUGACUGA